rnacentral:rRNA from 1 species
UACGUAGGGUGCGGGCGUUGUCCGGAAUUACUGGGCGUAAAGAGCUCGUAGGUGGUUUGUCGCGUUGUUCGCGAAAUCUCACAGCUUAACUGUGAGCGUGCGGGCGAUACGGGCAGACUAGAGUACUGCAGGGGAGACUGGAAUUCCUGGUGUAGCGGUGGAAUGCGCAGAUAUCAGGAGGAACACCGGUGGCGAAGGCGGGUCUCUGGGCAGUAAAUGACGCUGAGGAGCGAAAGCGUGGGGAGCGAACAGG